UACGUAGGGUGCAAGCGUUAAUCGGAAUUACUGGGCGUAAAGCGUGCGCAGGCGGCUUUGCAAGACAGAUGUGAAAUCCCCGGGCUUAACCUGGGAACUGCAUUUGUGACUGCAUGGCUGGAGUGCGGCAGAGGGGGAUGGAAUUCCGCGUGUAGCAGUGAAAUGCGCAGAUAUGUGGAGGAACACCAAUGGCGAAGGCAGUCUUCUGGGCCAUUACUGACACUGAGGAACGAAAGCGUGGGGAGCGAACAGG
rnacentral:rRNA from 1 species